GAAAGCCGUAUGCUUUGGAAGAAGCUUGUACAGUUUGGGAAGGGGUUUUUUGAGAGAAAAGAAGAAUGUACUUCAAC
rnacentral:ncRNA from 1 species